AGAGAGAAGUGAAAGAAAUUGUUUGAUUUCUUAAGGCAAAGAAGGAACGACACGCACUUUCGACCUGGAAAUCCCAACAGAAGGCAGGCGACGAAGAAGAAAAUCCUACUCUUCUGUCGCACGGGAAUUAAAAGGCGUUGCGUUGCCCUUGCGAUAAUUUAUCUACAUAUCUCUCCCUCUGUCUGUCUCUAUUCUUUCUUUAUAUCUUUUCCUUAUAAUAAGAUUUACAUGUGUCUUUUGACUUGUUUGUUUAUAAAAGGGCAACCGCAUAAACGUCCCUGUAGACUGCGAGUUUCAGAAUUUCAACGAAAACCCUAAUUUUGGCCUUCUUCUUCGCAGGCGCAUUCAAGGUUAGAGUGAGGUUUGGUCAGCUUUUGUAUGUGUACACUUUGUUAUGGAAGGCGUGAAUAUGCUGCUACCCCAAAAGCCUCUGACAAAAGAUGUUGAUGAUAACAAUGGUGGUGUUCCACAUCCUUCCACCAAUGUUGAUUACCAUCUUAACAUUCUUUUAGCUUCGCACUUGAGUAACCCAGAUCUGACACCCCAGGAGAUUGCUGAGGCCUCUAGAUCCACUGCUGCUGCUGCUGCUGUAGCUGCAAAGGCCGCCCGUGCUACCGCUUAUGAGAAAGCUGCUGCUGCUGCAAAAGCCGUUGCUGCCGCUAAGACUGCUUUAGAUUUUAUUGCCUCCUUUCCCAACCAGGGUCAGGGACUUGUCCAAGACGGUAGGGACAACAUGAAGACGCAUGUUGCUGCUGCUGACUUGUCCUACUCAAAGGAUGAUGACGCAUUACCCUCCUCCUUGCAACCAGGAGACGACACUCAUGGCAUCAUUCCAGGAGACGACACUCAUGGCAUAAUUCCAUACUCCUCUUUGAGCGAGGCUCCCACAGGCUCAAGAGAGAGGCCGAAUACAGAGCAAGCCAUUUCCAAGAGCAUGGAUUUCGAUGGGCCUGGCAUGGAGUUAGAUACCGAUAGACUGAACGGAUCAGCAGCUGGUGGAGAAGGAGCAAAAGAAGAGAUGAUUCAGGUGACCAGAAAGAGGGGGCGGCCAAAGUCCAAAUGAUUUUGCUUCUGUAAUUAUUUUUGGAGUCUAUUUGCUGCAAAUAGACGCAAAUACUGCUGCUUGUAUAUCAUCAAGUCCCUAGAAUGUGUGUGAGAUUUGGAGAGGCUAAAAAAAUUAUGAAAAGAAAACUCACAUAGUUUGUUUUAUUUGGGGGCCGCCGGAUGGUCUGUGGAGCUCUUUCGGCCAUCAUAUCCGAUUUGCCUUGUUUUUAUAUAUGAUCAAACCACUCACUACUCACUUCUUGAUUCUAACUUGAUUCUAAGCAUAUUUUUUUAUUAUUGGCUUUCAUGGGUGGUCUUUCAUACAAAUAGGGUAAAAAGACUCAACAAUACACACAAGUGAGGAGAGUAACAGAAUAACAAGAAAGAAUGCUGCAUGUUGUUUUUUUUUUCUCAAGGUAUGGUAACAACAAUGCUUCUCUUUUUAGACGGGACAAAAAAUAAA